GGGCAUCCCUCUCGUGCAGCCCUCUACCUUGCAUUCCGCUACUGCAGCCUCUUUCUCUAUUCCUAAACAGCUUUUCCCCUGCUCACUCAACUCAGCAAGUUAUGGCAGCCCGCGUGCAGCCCUCUUACCUUGCCUUCCGCGACUACGGCCUCUUUAUCUUUUCCAGCUAAUCAACCCUCCCCACUUUUCCCUUUUCCUACCCAGGGUGCUGCGCAACCUCCUCCCCCUUCCCCCGUAGCAACCUCCUCCCCCUUCCCCGUAGCGACCGCGUCGCUACUUUUUCCCCUUUCCCCAUCAUCUCCCGUCGGCGCGAACCGCGUUCGAGCCCGUGUUUUUUCCCAGCCAGGGACCGCGUCCCUGGUUCUCCCUCACCCCUCUUCCCUGGAUUCCCAUAGGGAUAACGUCCCCCAUAACCUUUUAAUUUUCGCUUCAUGGCUAAAAGUUCUGAAAUUAGCUAUAAAUGAGCUAUAAUUAGCAUUGUUUCGGAGGCUUCUGCUAGCAUAGGCAAAUGACUUGUUUGGAUGUGGUUAGGUGUUGGAGAGCUCUUCUGUCUGAAUAUCAGUGAUCUGGGUACCAGUACUGAUCAUCACACUGCUGGGCCUUCUGACUGCUUUAGGAGUGGCUCUCCUGCGUCGGCGGAUCAGGAAACCAUCAAUGGUUCAAGAGGAGCCUGUGUAUGAAACCACUGACCAGAUGCAAACAUACGCCAACACUAUUAUUCUUGGAGCUCUUCAGUCUUCAAAUCAGCUUUCCAAGCCAGAAUCAGAAGAUACAGCCCAGAACCUACAAUCAGAAAUUACGUAUGAAACUCCCACAUACAUAUUAUAAUGGGUGUGAGUUUGAGAGUGGAAUCUCCUGGUGGAAAGCUAUGUCAAGCUUGGGUAUUUGGAGUUCAGAGGUUUCACUUCAUUAUUCAAACUGUGCUAUCUCUAAUCUCAACUUCAGGCGUGACAAAUUACAUUAAUAUCGUCGAUAGGCUAUAUAUUCAAUCAAUCUCCAGUCAGUGGGCAUCAUGAUGUGACUAAGGCAAAUAAAAAUCCUUUUUAUUUGGUUCUUUAAAUGUCUUUAAUUGUUUAUUACUGUUAUGUGUUGAUCUUUAACCUAUUGCCCAGACAGUUAGAGACACCUACUGUAGGAGGGUAAUGCAUUAAAAGCCCCUAUAUAUAUAUAUAUCACAUAGAUAGUUUGUUUAUCUUAUAGAUUUUAUGUACAUAUCUGUUACUCAUUUAAUCAUGACUUUAGUUAAUAUAACAAAUACAUGCUGUAGCUUGUCCUUGAAUGUGUAAACACGCAGACAAUUCUAUUUGACGUAUUAAUCUAAACUGUCAUGUUUAACUUAUGACAUCUCUGCUCUAUGGGUUUACUUUUUACCACUUGUGGUCACCAUUAUGCAUCGUCCAAAAUGUGUUUUAUUACAUUAGAAUGUGUUUAGAGUUUUGCAAAAAGAGUCAAUGAGUUCUGCAAAUUGUAUUGCACUAGGUGAAAACUGUUUAUGGCUUUGUCAAGAGUGAUCGAUUCAAUAAAUGUGUUCAGGCAUCUGACUGAGCAUUUGGUUCAGAGAAUGGGGUUUAGUGUUUUUGCAGUUCUUUAAAACUGUUGUUCGUACAUGAUUUCUACAGGGUUUUAGUUCAAUUAAAUACAUUUUAAGACCUUUCUACAUUCAUAAUGAAUAAAAUAUACCAAUUAUAUGUUCACAUUGACAAAAAAAAAAAAAAAGUCACA